UUUCUCACUCCUUCUGCUUUUGUUCAUGUGAAUCAGAAGUCGUGGAAUUUAUACUUAUGGUUGUUUCUAAGGAAGUUUUCGCCACCGCCAAAUUAGAAUUCGUGGAAUUUGGCCACCGCAUCCGUACGGUUUUUGGCUACCAUUUUGAUACGAUUCUCACUCCUUCUGCUUUUGUUCAUGUGAAUCAGAAGUGGAAUUUAUACUUGUGGUUGUUUCUAAGGAAGUUUUCGCCACCGCUAAAUCGAAAUUCGUGACCGCUUCCGUAUGGUUUUCGGCUACCAGUUUGAUACGAUUCUCUAAGUGUUAAUGGAUUCGGAAUUCCGCUGCGAGUAGUCACCCCCUGUGCAACUUGAUUUGGCAUUGGGUCGCCCGUAAAAGCGAUUAAGGAAUGACAACCAGGUAAUAUUGUAUGGAUUAGAAAUUUAAAUUGAUGUCAUGAAUAUUUUAUUUUUGUUUUGUUGUUCAUCAAUUACAUCCUUAUUGUCUAGCAUGUUGGCCGACCAAAAAGGAAUUCGAAGGUUUUUCGACUUUCUCCCGGGUUGUCUAUGGUUGGGAAAUUGGAAGUUGUAUUAGUGUGUUAGUUUAUGUUGUUGCUUUCUUAUAAGACCUGUUAAUUUAAAGCACCGUGCUUUUGCGAUCCUUCUUAUGAAGGAUAACUGGCUUAGUGUUGGCGGUGGAGUCAAGGAAAAGGGGGAAGUACUGAAAAAUCAUUAUUCUGAUAGCUGUAAGGUAGGUAUUAAUCUAACUUUGUCCUUUAAAUGUAAUGCAUAAAAGGGGAAGUUCUGAUUUUGUUGUUGUUGGGCUGGUUUCUUCUGUCUUGUAGACACCUAACCUGACAUGUCGAAUUGAGUCUUUUGGGAGAAUAUGUUAAAAGUUUGAUGAUAGACGUGUGAGGUGGGUUAUGGAGAUUGGCUUUGGUGGUUUGUUGACCCUAGCUUCUGGAAUGCAUCUGCCCAGGCAGCUUGCGUACUGGUUGCUCAGUCGUGUUAAUCCGAUUAACAACAUCUUCACUUCUCCAGAUGGGAUGGAGUUAAGAUUCCCACCGAUCCAGGUGAACUGGGUGUUAGGGAUACCUAUUGGUGAAAUUCUGUUCCAACGAAGAGAACGAUGAACGCGAUGAUGAAAGCCAAGGUAGAAGGAUUAUUGAAGCAAUACAGGCAAUCAUGGGAGACCAGAUCCACCAAAUAUGAAGGGCGUGUCUACAUUGUAAAGGGUAUACAUGUGAAUUCACUGAUGAUGGAAAGAGUUGAGGGUGAUCGGGACGAGAGUGAGGAAGCUGAAUUCAAAACACUAUUCCUCAUAUUGGCUCUUCACAUGGUCCUUUGCCCAACCCAAUCACCACGGCUAUCAUCUAAUCUUAUUCCUGCGCUGACUUAUGCCAUGAGCUGUAAGGAAUACGACUGGUGCAGCCUCGUAUUAUCAAAGCUAGUUGGUAGUUUGUCAUCCUUUGCUAAAAGGUUUUAUGCGAAUGGGUCUACAGGAGGAUGUGGUGGUUGUUUGAUGUUUUUAGUUGUAAGCAGUUGAUAUGUUACUCUGUCAUAUGCAAACGUAAUUUUGACUGUUUAUGAUUGCUAAUGGUAGUAGUAUAAUGGUUUCUUAGUACACUGUCUCAUUGUGUUAUCUGAUGAUUGUUGGGUAGGUGUUUUAUUUGGACAGGCUCAAUAGGGAUCCCCUAGGAUGGGGGGCUUUUCCCUUACGAUGGGGGCUUUUCCCAGGUUAAAGGUUUGGACGAUGAGAGAAAUAACUGUUGUUGCAAGGCUUGAUAGGAUUCUCUACGUCUGGUGAUUAUGGAAAACUUGGGAUGUUGGAUGUGGCUUAUGGAGAAAAGCAUCCUAGGGAGGCUCGAGACAUCCUAGGGGGACCUGGAACUGAUACUAGAUAGUAUGCGCCUGGUUGCAGAUAGGUCAGUUCAUCCCUUCUACAUGGGUUAGUAAGCCCAGAAGAACGAGAAAUAGUGGGGCUCCAUGUUUUACUAGGAGCUCAAACCCGUGUAUUUGCGUUGCUGAGAAACGGCUAUGUUCUUGUUUGGAUAUUCUCCCUGCCUCAAUGAUAUGUAAUGUAUGUAUCAACAUUGACUACUAUUUUUUGGACACUGGUUUACAAGACAAAGUAGUGUUGAUUAUGUUUAUUGGUUCUUAUGGUCCAAGUACCAUUUGCUGAUUGUUUUAUGAUUGGCGAAUCCAGCGAUGAUGGCAAUUUAUAUCAGGGAAACCAAAUUCGUUAGCCUAGAGUCAUGAAUCGAACUCGGCAAAAGUUGAUAAAGUAUCGUGCUACUGUCGAUACCGUCGUAUACAUAAACACUGAGGAUGAGGAAGUUCUGUAACAUAACGUGCCAUGUAAUACAAUAUUUAUUUUACAAGAGCAUAAUAAUCUUUAACUACUUUGUAUCAAUGUGUAAGACAUUCUGAUUCAUAUAGGCGUGUAGUGCAUUACUGAAUUUGUAAGAGAAUUAAUUCAAAAUGCUUAUUUGUUUGUGUAUUCGGUAUUACUGAAUUAGUAUUUGUAGCAUGAAAGUAGUGUAUCGCCAUUGAACAUCGUUGAAGAUUGUAUUAUCCAAAUGGAGUAGUUUGUUAAUGUUAA